rnacentral:rRNA from 1 species
GACGAACGCUGGCGGCGUGCUUAACACAUGCAAGUCGAACGAAGUGGCGAACGGGUGAGUAACGCGUAAUCAACCUGCCCUUCAGCGGGGGACAACAGUUGGAAACGACUGCUAAUACCGCAUACUGAAGGCGGGGCUUGCGUCUGAUUAGCUAGUUGGAGGGGUAACGGCCCACCAAGGCGAUGAUCAGUAGCCGGUCUGAGGGGAGGAACGGCCAAAGUGGGACUGAGGCACGGGCCAGACUCCUAAGGGAGGCAGCAGUGGGGAAUCUUCCGCAAUGGACGAAAGUCUGACGGAGCAACGCCGCGGGAGUGAUGACGGCCUUCGGGUUGUAAAGCUCUGUUAAUCGGGACGCGGUACCGGAAUAGAAAGCCACGGCUAACUACGUGCCAGCAUCCGCGGUAAUUC